AAAAGACGGAGACGGAGACGAAGAUGGAGAUGGAGAAGGUAGAGAAGAAGGA
rnacentral:sRNA from 1 species